rnacentral:rRNA from 1 species
AAGCGGCAACAGCUCAAAUUUGAAAUCUGGCUCUUUUAGAGUCCGAGUUGUAAUUUGCAGAGGGCGCUUUGGCUUUGGCAGCGGUCCAAGUUCCUUGGAACAGGACGUCACAGAGGGUGAGAAUCCCGUACGUGGUCGCUGGCUAUUGCCGUGUAAAGCCCCUUCGACGAGUCGAGUUGUUUGGGAAUGCAGCUCUAAAUGGGAGGUACAUUUCUUCUAAAGCUAAAUAUUGGCCAGAGACCGAUAGCGCACAAGUAGAGUGAUCGAAAGAUGAAAAGCACUUUGGAAAGAGAGUCAAACAGCACGUGAAAUUGUUGAAAGGGAAGCGCUUGCAGCCAGACUUGCUUACAGUUGCUCAUCCGGGUUUCUACCCGGUGCACUCUUCUGUAGGCAGGCCAGCAUCAGUUUGGGCGGUAGGAUAAAGGUCUCUGUCACGUACCUCCUUUCGGGGAGGCCUUAUAGGGGAGACGACAUACUACCAGCCUGGACUGAGGUCCGCGCAUCUGCUAGGAUGCUGGCGUAAUGGCUGUAAGCGGCCCGUCUUGAAACACGGACCAAGGAGUCUAACAUCUAUGCGAGUGUUUGGGUGUCAAGCCCGAGCGCGUAAUGAAAGUGAACGGAGGUGGGAACCCGCAAGGGUGCACCAUCGACCGAUCCUGAUGUCUUCGGAAGGAUUUGAGUAAGAGCAUGGCUGUUGGGACCCGAAAGAUGGUGAACUAUGCUUGAAUAGGGUGAAGCCAGAGGAAACUCUGGUGGAGGCUCGCAGCGGUUCUGACGUGCAAAUCGAUCGUCA